rnacentral:rRNA from 1 species
UACGUAGGGUGCGAGCGUUGUCCGGAAUUACUGGGCGUAAAGAGCUCGUAGGUGGUUUGUCGCGUUGUUCGUGAAAACUCACAGCUUAACUGUGGGCGUGCGGGCGAUACGGGCAGACUGGAGUACUGCAGGGGAGACUGGAAUUCCUGGUGUAGCGGUGGAAUGCGCAGGUAUCAGGAGGAACACCGGUGGCGAAGGCGGGUCUCUGGGCAGUAACUGACGCUGAGGAGCGAAAGCGUGGGGAGCGAACAGG